CAGGAGAGCUGAGGAAAUUCGGGCUGUGCCAGUUCCCCCUGACACUCCAGCCUGUCCCAAAACACAGGAGCUGCGGCUUUCUCCAGGCAGUCUUGAAAUCCUAGUUGGUAAUUAGUUCAUGCAGAGCUAAUUGGACCAAGGCAGGAGCAACACCUCUCACAAGGGCACCACAAAUCCACCCAUCUAAACAGCUUCAUCUAGAAUGCCAAGAAACCUCACCAAAGGCAAUCCAAGAUAACAUUUUAAAGUGAGAAAUCUUUACACAUGUGUCUCUGUAUCCUGAGUUACACGCUGAGGAUGUCCCCAGCUUUAAUGAAGCCUUAAGAGAUAUUGACUGAAUCCUUGGGACAAAGACAUUUAAUCCACAAAAUCACCAAUCUUUCCUAUAAACAAUCAAGAUUAUUACCUAAAUAAAAUUGCUUCAGAUUUUGAGCAAAAUUAAUUUUUUAUGUUCUUUACCUCUGAAG